UACGGGGGGAGCGAGCGUUGUUCGGAAUCACUGGGCGUAAAGGGCGCGUAGGCGGUCAGGUAAGUGAGAUGUGAAAUCCUCCGGCUCACCCGGAGACAUGCAUCUCAUACUGCUUGGCUAGAGUGCAGGAGAGGAAACGAGAAUUCCAGGUGUAGCGGUGAAAUGCGUAGAUAUCUGGAGGAAUACCGGUGGCGAAGGCGCGUUUCUGGCCUGUUACUGACGCUGAUGCGCGAUAGCUAGGGGAG
rnacentral:rRNA from 1 species